CGAACGCUGGCGGUAUGCUUAACACAUGCAAGUCGAACGAGAAAGUCUCUUCGGAGGCGAGUACAGUGGCGCACGGGUGAGUAACACGUAGAUAACCUGCCCUUUAGUUUGGGAUAGCUCUUCGAAAGGAGGGGUAAUACCAGAUAAUACCAGAUGUCGAAUGUCAUUUGGUUAAAAGAUUUAUCGCUAAGGGAUGGGUCUGCGGACCAUUAGCUAGUUGGUGGGGUAAGGGCCUACCAAGGCGACGAUGGUUAGCGGGUCUGAGAGGAUGAUCCGCCACACUGGAACUGAGACACGGUCCAGACUCCUACGGGAGGCAGCAGUGGGGAAUUUUGCGCAAUGGGCGAAAGCCUGACGCAGCAAUACCGCGUGAGUGAAGAAGGCCCUUGGGUCGUAAAGCUCUUUUCUAAAGGAAGAUAAUGACGGUACUUUAGGAAUAAGCACCGGCUAACUCC
rnacentral:rRNA from 1 species